rnacentral:sRNA from 1 species
GGAACGGGCCUUUCAGGCAUCCUCUCCCAAACUUUUCGAGCCGGUCCCAUGGGCCGGCUUUCUUUUUUGCUGCAC